rnacentral:rRNA from 1 species
AUUAAACGCUGGCGGCAGGCCUAACACAUGCAAGUCGAGCGGAUGAGGGGAGCUUGCUCCCUGAUUUAGCGGCGGACGGGUGAGUAAUGUAUAGGGAGCUGCCCGAUAGAGGGGGAUACCAGUUGGAAACGACUGUUAAUACCGCAUAAUGUCUACGGACCAAAGUGUGGGACCUUCGGGCCACAUGCUAUCGGAUGCACCUAUAUGGGAUUAGCUAGUUGGUGGGGUAACGGCUCACCAAGGCGACGAUCCCUAGCUGGUUUGAGAGGAUGAUCAGCCACACUGGAACUGAGACACGGUCCAGACUCCUACGGGAGGCAGCAGUGGGGAAUAUUGGACAAUGGGCGCAAGCCCGAUCCAGCCAUGCCGCGUGUGUGAAGAAGGCCUUCGGGUUGUAAAGCACUUUCAGCGAGGAGGAAGGGAUGUAUGUUAAUAGCAUGCAUUUUUGACGUUACUCGCAGAAGAAGCACCGGCUAACUCUGUGCCAGCAGCCGCCGUAAAAC